rnacentral:lncRNA from 1 species
CUUCCCUCCACUCCAUCUUAGCCCCCAGGGAUGGACAUCCAGGGGAAGCAGCCCCACUUCCUGUGUCUACUCCUCAUGGACAUUGUGGGAGCUCCAUUUUCUUCAACAGAAGAUAUGAAUCAAGCAAUCUGAGGGCCUAGAUGGGGAGAAAAGGGCCCUGAAACAGGGAGAGAUGAAUGUAGCCACCAGCUCUCUGUUUUUUUCUUUAGAGGGGCAGGGAGUCAUUCAACCUAAGAAUUUUUCCUUGCUGUCUUGCAUAUCCCAACAGGCCUCCCUUCAUUCUUACAGUGUGACUGACCUAAAUUGAAAAUAUGAAGAGGACCCAUGGGCUAAAAGGAAGAAGAUUAUGGGCAAGUACUGCAAGAACUGGCAACAGUCUCAUAUUAUGUGGACAACUCUACAAUGCAUGUUUGUUUGGGCUCUCCCUUUUCGCUGCUCCAAACUCCCUGUCCCUGACUUUUGCUUACUGGGUCCAGUCCCCAGUAGAGUAGCUGCUCUUAGGCUUUUGUCUUAGGAGAACUCAGGGGAACACGUGGCCUAUGCUCUGGCA